rnacentral:rRNA from 1 species
UGGGGAAUCUUCCGCAAUGGACGAAAGUCUGACGGAGCAACGCCGCGUGAGUGAAGAAGGUUUUCGGAUCGUAAAACUCUGUCUUUUGGGGCGAACGUGAGUAUGGUGAACAAUCAUAGUCAGUGACGGUACCAAAGGAGGAAGCCACGGCUAACUACGUGCCAGCAGCCGCGGUAAUACGUAGGUGGCAAGCGUUGUCCGGAAUUAUUGGGCGUAAAGAGCGCGUAGGCGGGAUAGUCAGUCUGUUGUAAAGUGCGGGGCUCAACCCCGUGAUCGCAAUGGAAACAGCUAUUCUUGAGUGCAGGAGAGGAAAGUGGAAUUCCCAGUGUAGCGGUGAAAUGCGUAGAUAUUGGGAGGAACACCAGUGGCGAAGGCGACUUUCUGGACUGUGUCUGACGCUGAGGCGCGAAAGCCAGGGGAGCGAACGGGAUUAGAUACCCCGGUAGUCCUGGCCGUAAACGAUGGGUACUAGGUGUGGGAGGUAUCGACCCCUUCCGUGCCGGAGUUAACGCAAUAAGUACCCCGCCUGGGGAGUACGGUCGCAAGACUGAAACUCAAAUGAAUUGACGGGGUCAUAGCUG